GUUCCCACCCACCCUAGCCUACUCAGAUGUAGCUUCAGUAAUUCUCUACAGGAUCUUUCCUGUCAACAUACAAAAAAUGCUACUAUUUUCCCCCCACCUUUAAAAAAGCUUUGCUUCAUCCCUCCUUUGCUUCCAGCUAGCCCUAUUUAUCUCCAUUACUUUACUAAAAUUUCCUUCAGAGUUGUUUAUAAUAAUUGCUUCUAAUUUCUCUCCUCUCAUUCUUCGUUGGACAUACUCUACUUGGGCUUUCCCUCCCUCACUGCUUCACUGAAACUGCUCUUACCAAAGUCAGCACAAUGCCCUUGUUGUUAAGUCCAAUGGCCAGUUCACGGCUGUUACUUUACUUGACUUGUCAGUAGCAUUUGACACUGUUAUCACACUGCUCUUCUUAAAAUACUUUCCUCCUUCAGUUUACAGGACAACUCACUCACCUAGUUUCUCUCUAAAUUCCUGAUCCCAUCUUGCUAGGUUUUUUUCAUCUCCCCAUUCCCUAUUCCUUUCAGUGUUCAGUGUUUAGAACUCAAUCCUUGAAUAUUCUUAAUUGUCUACACUUACCUUCUAGGGGCCAUUAUCCAAUCUCAUACUACUAACACCAUUUGUAGGCUGAAAUCUCCAAAUGUCUAUCUUUGACCCAUAAUUCUCCCCUUAACUACAGGCUCAUGUCCUGUUGACAUUGCCUCUCCAAUCAGUAACACGAAAAAAUUCUUACAUAGCACUUACUGUGUGCCAGACACUAUUCUUUAGUAUUUCACAUGUAUUAACUCAUUUAAACCUCACAACACCCUUAUGAGGUAGAUAGUAUUAUCAUCACGUUUCAUCUAAGAAAACUGAAUGAGAAUGAGGGAUUAAGCAAUUUACACAAGGUCAAUCAACCAGCAAUAGCCCCACCAGGAUUUGAAUCUGAGCUUUCAGAUGCCAGAAUCUAUAUUGUUAUGCCCUAUAACUAUGCCACACUGCCUCUCAAAUUAAACAGUUGCAGGGCAUCCUUCAAAUGUCGAGAACUGAGCUCUAGUUGUGCCACAAAUCUGCUCCUUUCCCAGUAAUUUGCCUCUUGAUUGAGACCACUUCUAGCUUCUCAGGCAAGACAUCUUAGAAUUGUCAGGAAAUUCCCUUUUUCUGUCAUACCACAUCCAACAAACCUCCAGCAAAAUGAGUUGGAUGGCCCACAAAAUAUAUUCAGAACUUCAUUUCUUAUUAUAUCCCUUCCACCUGCCACAACUUUGUUCAAGCCAUUAUCGUUUCUUCUUAAUAUUACAAUGCCCUCCUAAUUUCUCUCACUGUUUCUAAUGUGCUGCUCUUUAGUAUAUUCUAAGUGGGCAAACAAAAUGCUUCUGUCAAAAAUAUGUCAGAUAAUAUCAUUCCUUUGCUUAAAACCCUCUAAUGGCUACUCAUCUCAUUCAGAGUAAAAACCAGCUCCCUCACUAUGACAUGAAAUGUUGUACAUAAUCUGGCCUGUUCAUAUUACUUCUCUGAAUUCAGCUUCUCCAGCCCCCACCUCCCACCCCUCAUCCACUUGUCUCCAGCUGUGUUGGACUCCUGAACUUUCAGGUUUUCUGGAACCUGCCUCAGGAAUUUGUACUCACUGUGUCAACUGCCUGGAAUGUCUUUCUCCAGAUGUUUAUAUUAUAAAUGGAACUAUGUCCUCCCAAAAUUAAUGUGUUCAAUUCCUAACCCCAUCUCCAUCCCUAAGAAUGUGACCUUAUUUAGAAAUAGGGGACUUGCAGUAAUAAUUAGUUAAGAUGAUUUUAUCCUGGAGUAGGAUGGGCCCUGCUAAACUAUGACCUAUGUCCUUAUAAAAUGUGGAGAUUUGGACCCAAAGAGUCACACAGCAAGAAUGGCAUGUAAAUAGGAAGGCAGAAAUCAGGAUGCUGUGUAUACCAGUCAAAGAACAACAAGUAUUGCCAGAGAACUACCAGAAGCUACUCCUUCACAGCUCUCAGAAGGAACCAAUCCUGCUGGCACUUUGAUCUUGGACUUCUAGCCUCCAGAACUGUAAGACAACAAAUUUCUGUUGGCUAAGACACUCAGUCUGUGGUACAUUGUUAGAGUAACCCUAACAAUUAGCAAACUAACACAGUUUUUAUCAUUUGAUCUCUUACCUUAACAGGUCUUUAAUCAUAUACCACAUUCUCAAUGAAGUUUUCUCUCACUAAAAUUUCAUUCACACACACCCACACACAGCCCAAAAGAGGUUUCUCUAUUUUAUUCUGUUACUUAUCUAACAUGCUUUGGUUUUAUUUAUUUCUCUUGUUUAUUUUCCGUUUUCUCUACUAACUGUCCAUGAGAGAAAGAAUUUGUUCUUGUUUCCCCAGCUCCUCAAAUACUAACUGGCACAUGGGAGGUGUACAAUAAACACUUGUUAUACAAAUGAAUUGAUGAACUCCCUGGCUGUUCAAGACCAUAUAUGUAACCCAAAACUGACAUUCUAUCAGUCUCAGUUUGGGCUGAAUCCCAAUAUAGUGGUUACCAACUCACCCUAAAUUCCAAAAUGAGAUUAUAAAAAACCAUGAAGGAUUUAGAUUAUCUAAAGUUAAUGCUAAGACUCUUGAUUCUUCGCACAAAAGUAGAUGAUUUGUGAGUUUAGAAGAUAAAGAUGGGAGACAGAAUUUCUGGAGGAAGCUUAGUGAUGCGAAGAUUCCACCUGUCCUUCCAUCACAGGGGAAACAUUGGUGCUGUUUCUUUCGCUUUCCCUUGAACUUGGUAAGUGAAGCUUCAAAGAGUCCAAUAAAGAGCUUAAUAUUCGUCCUUUGAAGUUUGCGACAUGCCUCAGUGGACUUCUGUCUGAUCCGUACAUGUCUGGCCAAGUGGCCAGUGGCUGCAUUGGAGAAGUAACCACAUUCGUGGCAGUGGGUCUCAUUUGUAAGUUUUCCCAUGGACUAGAAAGAAGCAGUGAGUAUAAAAGCCAACACAAAACACCUGGAGGGACAAGAUGUCAGUAGAGAGAUGCUGGAGAUGUACAGCCAGAUGCUGGUGUGAGGGUGGAGCCAGAAGUAGCAACUGGGAGGCAUCAUCCUUGUCAGGAAUUUAUCUGAGAGAUUCUGGUGGAUAGUGAGUCUUAAACACCACCAGGGCGUAGGGAAAACAGUAUAAAUCAAUGGCGGCCAGGAAAGCUCUUUCCUGCCUCUUCUUCUCCCCUCUGCUACAACCAUGACUAAGCCCUGGGCUUCAGGAGAGAGGGAAGAUAUGACAGAGUAAAGAGAAACCAAGACCUAACCCCCAAUACCCCUCUUCACAAGAUAGACACACAAAAACACACAGUCACACAUUCCCUGCACACUUUUCACCUGGAGCAGUCCAAAUUGGGACAAAAGGGGAGCCAGAGAGGGAGAAAUUCUAACUUUAAUGAAGUUCAGAGUUUUUUUCAAACAUAUACGUUGGCAUAUUAAUUUUUGAACUGAGAAUAUUUUUAUGACUAAGGCAACUAAAGGAGUUAUGGCUUCGAGUAGUACUCAGGUACUGGAUGUUGCGUAAGUUGUUCUUGGGCAAAGAAAUAGUUGGCAGUGCAGAGAGAGGGGAGUGGGUGGAGAAAAUAAAGCAGUUCUUUUCUUCUGUUAUCUUUGAGUCCUGCUUUUUCAGCAUACUAGUCCCAUUACUCCACUGUGCAAACAAGGAAGAUUAUCCCUUUAUGAAAAUUAUUUGAAAAUUAUAGGAUGCAGUCUAUAAGUUUUGUGUAGAACAAACCGCAGAUACUCUAAUUUUCCAAGUAUGCAGCAUUAUAAUAACUAAUUAAAAACAAUAAAAUUUAGACAAUAGUAUAUAAAGUUUUCUAACAUAGAAUAGCUAUCUUGAGAUUUCUGGGAGAUGACAUGAUACAAUUAUUUAUUUAUUUUCUUUUUAAAGGUAAAAAGUCACUGUGGCCAGCCCAGAGACAUAGUGGUUAAAUUAGCAUGCUCCACUUCCGUUGUUUGGGGUUCUCAGGUUCAGAUCCUGGACGCAGACCUACAUACUGCUCCUCAAGCCGUGCUGAGGUGGCGGCCCGCAUAGAAGAACUAGAAGGACUUACAACUAGGAUAUACAACUAUGUACUGGGGCUUUGGGGAGGGGAAACAAAAAAAAUGAGAAAGAUUGGACCAAUCUUCCUCACCAAAAAAGCAUACCUUAAAAGAAAAGGUAAAAAAUUCCUUUACAAACCUCUUUGUAUAGCUAACAGUGUGGGAAAGGUGAAUAAGUCUAAAGUUAUUUUCUUCUCUGUUUCAGCACUUUUGAAAGGCACAAAAGGAAAUAAAACCAAUCCAGAAAUUCAUUAUUUCUCUCCAAUUUUUCCUUUUCCCAUAUGAGCAGAGCCUGGAAGUGCACAGACACAUUAGGGAAUGUUUCCACUGUGUGGGAGAAACAUCUGCAGAGUACGCCUGGACCACCAGAAGUGGAGUGAGAAAGAAGCAUGUGGGGGCGGAGGCGGCAGACAAUGAAAGGAAAACUGGGAGCUGGUGAGGCCCAAACAUCCAACGGAAUUGCCUAACCUUCAGGUUACCUUUUCUUUAUAUAAGAAGUCUAAGAGCAAUAACAUUCAUGUGAAAAACACAUUUUAAAAAAUGGUGGUGAAAUAGAGUUCAAAGCAUACCCUUUGAAUUUUUUUUUUCUGUGAGUAUGGGAAACGUUAGCAUUCUGCUUUGCACGUCUUUCUCUCUAGAGCCUAAGCUGGGUGGUUUUCAUGGGUUUCUUCCUACUCAUCCUUUGCAGCCAUUUAUUAAAGUGGCCAUGUUAAAGUCUGGGAGCUACAGCCCUCCUCUCAAAUCAGAGCAAAGCACAGAGAAGACAGAGAUGAAUUCUGAGUAAAUACAUUGUGAGACAUCAGGGGCUAAAAGGGGUCUGGAAAUGCAAAUGAUUAUCAUUAGAAAGUAAUAUGCAACUACUGAAAGAAUAAUGCAGUCUAGCAAAACAAUCCUGCAAUCUGCGUUCAAUCAAAGCUGACCAAAAUGCUUACACUGGUCCUUGCGUUCAUUAUUGGAAGCCAAAUGCUUUCUGGAACUCAUGAAGCAAGUUUUACCAAGUGGCACAUAACCAACAGAAUACUGGGGAAACAAUACCAGCCUUAGAGUUGAAUUUUCCAAUAAAAGGGAGACUCUCCAACUCUAAUGGCCAAGGUAUUGAGAGUGACAAGAAUAUUGAUAUACCUGUAAGUGCUCACAGAUGAGUUUUGUGGGUUGGUUUGUUUUAGUCUACAGCACAUGUGACUGGACAUCUUGCCCACAAAAUAGCUUAUGCGUGACGAUAAUGAAAAUUCAGGAUACAGAGCUUCAAAAAUCAUAUGUGGCAGGGCUAAAUGUAGGAGACUGGACAAGAAGAAUGCCUACCACAAAUGAUUGGAACCUGCUUAAUUAAUUUUGAUUCUGGGCCAGUUUAAUAAGUCUCUUAAGUGCAGUGGUACUGAAAUUCUAUUAACUUUAUUCUCAUAGAAAACAAGACACAUAUUCUUUGUAGAUUGUGAUUUUCACUAUUCACCUUUGGUUCAGAGCCUUAGUGAGCAGGCCUUUUGGGCUCUGAUCUUCAGAAAGUUCUAGCCAUGGCUAUGGUUAAAUUUCAGACAAAUCAUCUGCCUUCACCCCUCCCAGUUCACACCUGGCAUACAUGAGCAGGGCUGCCUCCUUGGGAAGCAGGCUGGCAGUCACCAGGCAGAAGCCCCGCUGUCUUUCAUGAAAGAACUACUUAUCCCGGGGCCAUAUAUCAUAUACAGCCAAAAUUCGUGGUUUAGGACAUGUCAAGCACCCUCAGAAAUCCUAGGAUUCAUUCACCUACCAGAAACAGAAAUGUAUUCAUAAGUAGCUUUUUCAACAAAAUACCAUGAAGUUAGAAUAUAGUUGAGAUCCAAUGUGUUUACUGGCAAAAAACAGGUAGGCAAACUGAAAGACAUUAGACUUUCUAAUUUAAAUAUAGCAUGCCUCUUAGUUUAUAUUUAUUUUUCUGGAGAGUCUGAUAAAAUUAUUUUAAAUCAAUAUUAACCAAAAUGAUACUUUGAAGAGUAACAGUAAAUGAGAUGAUGACCUCUUUGUACGUUGUAUAGUAAUAUAAAUAUAACAGAAAUUCUUUCACAAAUUUCAAUCUUAUAGAAAUUUCUUUCUUUUUAUUCUGGAGAAAGUUGAAAAGAAUAAAUUUUUAUUUUAUUAUUAAUUCCAGUAUUACAUAGCAAAAAAUGCACUCACACAAUGAAACAAUUCAUGUGUAGCUUUGUGAUUCCCUUAAAUAAUCUCUCCUUGCUUCCUUCCUCCCUCCUUCCCUCUUUUAAAGCUUUAGGAAUUCAAAUUCAAAUGAGCAGGCUGGUAUUCGAGAUAUAGUUUAAGUAUAGAAUAAUUGUCAAAAUAUUCAGGUGGGUGGAAAACUAUUUCCCCGGAGAGAUUAUUUUUAAUAAUGUUUUUAAGCAACUUAUUAAAACAUGCUGUUUUCUGCCUAAUUAAAAUGUGCAUAACAAUAACUAUCACAUUAUAAAAAACUGUACUUACAAAAGGGGUAGUUAUUUAACUUUAUGAAUUUAAUAAAUAAAUGAUUUAAAUCCCUAUGUUGUCUUUGUUGAGGCCCUCAUGGCAUUAAAGAGAAUUGGUUUUAGACAUUUUUCCAUUUGAGUACAAUUACUUGAUGCUAAAAAGGCCUAAUUCACUCCAAUCUAACUGCAAUUUGGCCCCCAAAUAUCACACAGAAUCUACAGAUUAUCGAUUUCUUGCCUUGUGCAUUAACUCACUGACUCUUCAUAUUGACCCUAUUAAGUACUUAUUAUCUCCAUUUUAUAGUUGAGGAAACUGAGGCAUAUGGUUGUUAAAUGGAAGAAUCUAAAGAACUAGAAGUGUUUGAAUCUAGAAUCUGGUAUGUUACUUCAUCUCUUAUUGAACUGAAAGCCAAGAACAAAAUAUAGACAAAUAAAGGUAUUUAAGUGAGGAUGAUAUUGAUAAAGUAGCCUGCUUUCAAGGAAAAUGAUUUAUCUAAAGCACAAAAUUACAUCUUGGAAAUUGAAGCAUCAGAAUAUCAUGACAGAUAAUUUAAAAAAAUUAACACUUGCAAAUUUCACACACCUGGUAAGUUGUUCUCUUUCACUCUGAAGAAUGGAUGGGCACCAUGAGAUCCAUUUACUUGGAUCUUCUUCCAAAUGUGUGGGUUCGGGAUAUGAGAAAUUUUAUUUUCUCUAAAGUUAGGAAGGAGCAAGGAAAACAUAUAAAGAGGAUAGAGUACACGUAUAAAGGCAGAACUGUCCUCAAUUGCUAAUAUAUGCCAUAUGAUAAAAGAAUAAAAAGCAUAUUUGAAGCAAAAAAAUACAUUCUCCAAUAUAUUUUAUUAGUUUUUAUUGUGGUAAAAUGCACAUAACAUAAAAUUUACCAUUUUUGCCCCAUUUUUAAGUGUUUAGUUCAGUGGCAUUAAGUACGUUCACAUUGUUAUGUGUCUAUCACCACCAUACAUCCCCAAAACAUUUUCAUCUUGUAAAACUGAAACUCGGCAUCCAUUGAACACUACCUCUCCAUUCCCCGCUCCCUCCAGUCUCUGGAAAUCAGCAUUCUACUUUCCGUCUUUAUGAUUUUGAGUAUGCUAGGUAUCUCAUACCUCAUGAUUCAAGUGGAAUCAUAUCAUAUUCAUCCUUUUCUGAUGGGCUUAUUUCAUCUAGCAUAAUGUUUUCAAGAUUCAUCCAUGUAGUAGCAUGUAUCCAAAUUUCCUACCUUUUUAAGGCUGAAUAUUCCAUUGUAUGUAUACACCACGUUUUGUUUAUUCUUUCAUCCUUCAAUGGACAAUUGGUUUGCUUCCACCUUUCAGUUUUUGUGAAAAUGCUCCUAUGAACAUGAGUGUACAAUGUAUGUUUUUGUCUACAGCUUUAAUUAUAUGUUUUAUCUACAGCACCUUCAGAAGCUUUGGAAAUCCCUGAGUUCUACAUCAUUCACUAUUAACAAAGUAAAAACAUUUCCUGUUUACUUUCUUAGGAGCUGCACAUAUUAAAACUAAAUAAAACAAAUCAAAACAAAACCACCACUGUCAAAAAAACAAACAUCCAAAACUCCUAUAAUUUCAUGUUAUAGUGAAUAUUCAAAUUAAAGAAAAAACAAGGGAGGAUUCCAACUUCAGAUAAUAUAUUGAACAUACAAGUCUAUCUCCUCUCCCUCUUAAAGGUCUAUUACAUUGGGAGUAACGGCAUAAAAAGUCUAUAUCUACAAAGAAAGAAGAGAAUAGGAGGGGAGAGAUUAGAGAGCUAGAAGUCCAAUUCAUGGAUGAAUAGUGACUGGUGAAGCAGCAUAGGCAGGGGACUCAGGGAGGAAUACGAGUGGAGGGGGCUCUAGCUAAGGAGGAAGUAGGUUUGUUCCUGAAGAACCACAACAGAUAGAAAUGGAAAGUAGGAAUGAAAUGUGGGAUUUAAAAUAAGAAUUAACUGGAAUUUAUGUUGAAGACUUCUCUUCACUUAGCGUGAAAUGCCUAGAGCCAGGUGAUACCUUCCCAGAAAGGAAAAAUGAGAAUUCUUCUCUAAUAAACUGAACAAUUAGGGAGUUGCUACCCUAGAAGGAAUCCUCUUUCAUUCUGGCAUUUAAUGGUUCCAAAGUGUAACAUAAGGCUCCUGGCUUGUUCACCUAAAAGCUAAUUAGAGAGAGUCAAGAAUCUCUGCGUAUGUACAAAGUAUAUACAGUCAUUUUUACCAGAGCCUCUUUCUCAGAUAAAAAGGGGCACCAAGAAACACCAGAUAUAAGAGAAAAGCCAGCAGAACAAAAAAGAAACACCAAAUUGUACAAACAAGAACAACAAAAAAAGAUCUGUAAUUAAACACAUCACCACAAAAUUUCUGUGCAUUAAGGAUCGUAAGUGUUUCCAGAGAGGAAGACAGGUUAUGUAGCAAACAGGUUUCAGACUUCUCCCUAGCAAUACUCUGCUAGAAGGUAGCACAACAAUGCCUUCAAAGGUCAGAGGGAAAAGCAGAUUUCACCUAUAAUUCUAAAUCAGCCAAUCCAUCAAUGAGGUGGGCACACAGAAUAAAGACAUUUAUAUCAUGCAAUGAUUCAGAGAAGCUUUCCCUUUCUUAGAGAGUUAUUUGAGGAAGGACUCUGGCAAAACAAGGAAUAACUGAAGAAAGAGGAAAAUGUGAUCCAGGAGAUGGUAGAUUUAACUCCUCCAAGAGGGUAGUGAGAUUUCCCAGGAUGAAGCUCAGUACCAUGAACAGAGACUGGAACAGGGAGGAGGUGUGCAGAGGAAGGAGGGGUGGGGGCAGUGGAGUACAUAAAAUAGAUAAUAUGAUUAAGAACUUGGGAAUAACUGAAGAUUGGGGAAGAUAUAAAAAUGAACAUUAAUUUUAAUUUGUGCCCAAAAUAUUUGCUAUUGAGAGACAUAGGAGCGGACACUGGACCAUAAAAGAAAGAAAUAUGAUAAUAUAGUAAACAGUCUCCACUGGGUUUUAUUUGUUAGACUGCUUCUUAGAAAUGGUGGACAAUAUAACUAUGCCUACUGAAUGAAUGGGAUGUAUAUGUCUUUAACCAUAGAAUUAUAAAACUGGAGGUUCAGAAGACAAGUAGGGAGGUGAAAGGGGAUAAAGAAAAGUGGAGAGGUUGGUGGAAGCCCUAAUAUUUUCUAUUUUACAGAGAAAGGUGAAGAGAUGCUGUUUAUGGAAAAUGGAUAAAAAAUGGUGAUACACAACUAGAAGGACCCACAACUAAGAAUAUACAACUAUGUACCGGGGGUCUUUGGGGAGAAAAAGGAAAAAAAUAAAAUCUUAAAAAAAAAAUGGUGAUACAAGAAAAUCUUCUGAAGUAGAGGGCGGAGAGAAAUGUAGCAAGUGAUAGAUGUGAGCCAAUUACUUUCUUAUCAUAAAAGAAAUCAGUAGACAAUGCCUACACUUUGUGAAUCAAAAAAAAGUGUUAUAAAAGAAAAUGUAGAGGGGCCGGCCCGGUGGCACAGCAGUUAAGUUCGCACGUUCUGUUUCUCGGCAGUCCGGGGUUCGCCAGUUUGGAUCCCUGGUGCGGACGUGGCACCAUUUGGCAAAAAGCCAUGCUGUGGCAGGCGUCCCAAGUAUAAAGUAGAGGAAGAUGGGCACGGAUGUUAGCUCAGGGCCAGUCUUCCUCAGCAAAAACAGGAGGAUUGGCAGUAGUUAGCUCAGGGCUAAUCUUCCUCAAAAAAAAAAAAAGAAAAAGAAAAUGCAGAGAUUGAGGUAAACACCAGUGGAACCGAAACCAGAAAAUACUAUGAAGAUUUGCUUCUGAAGGAAUAGAACUGUUGGUGGGCUGGGAGGGCACUGCUUAUUUUCAUUAUGUAGUAGCAUCAUUUUCACUAUUAUAAUAUCCUUCUUAUGCUCUUUGAUUUUUUUCUAAAAACAAUGUGAAUAUUUUUGAUAAAAAUAAAAGCACUUAAUUUAAAGGAAAGAUCAGAGUGAAGGAGUUUGUGCAAACAAACUACAAGGAACACCGUUUCUUUCUUUUCAGGAACACAGAUACUAACUUUUUAAAUUUGUUUAUUUUUUGCCAUGUUUCAAAUGUAUAGACCUCACCUCAUUCAAAGCAGUGCUGUCAUGCCCUUUAGUCUCUAAGAUUUUGGAGAAAGCAGAUGGAUUCCUUAAUCAGCUAAAGUAAUCAAGAUCCAACAAAAAUGGUUUUAAAUCAUUGUUUUUCUGCACUAAUUUUAGGAACAUUAGAUUUGCAUUAACUUUUAGUGUUUAUGAAGUGCUUUUAUAAAUACCUUCACCAUAAAUCUAACCUGCUUGGUAAGUAGGAGAUAUCCAGUUGCAAGAGAUUAAAUGGCGUGUCUUGGUUAUGAGUGACAAGUAAUAAGAACCCAUACUUUUUUUUGGGUCAGUCAAAAAGUCAAACGAAAGUGCCUACACUUUUGCUUACAAAUGCAAAGCAUCCUGCAGAUUGUAUCAGAAGCCUGUAAUUUCAGCAACAUUAAAACUGCUCUUAUAUCAUGUUUCCUUGUUAUGUUGUUACAGGUGAAUGUGAAUAGCAACACGUGUUCUCUACAUUCCCACACUGUGCAAAACACCUUUCUGAUUACAAACAAGAGCCAUUCUUUCACAUAGUCUGUCCGAAUCCUGAAAAAUGGGCAUGUUUACACGCUCAAGGGCAAAACUGAGGCUGGGGCAGAUCAGAGCCUUGCGUAUGGUUUGUCUCUUAGUCCAUCUGCAUUUCAGUCCUCAUCACCACGCAGAGACAGGAAGAGGAGCAAAGCCUGAAGGAGCAAGAUAAUGGUCUUUUUGAUGCUUCAACCGCAGAAAAAGAAAUGUAAACAAUAAAUGCUCUCUGAAGAUUUUUCUAUCAUUAUGAAUUGAUAACAUACAAAGAAGAGAAAGUUUUCUGAAUUUUUUUUUCCCAAGGAAGAUGAGCCCUGAGCUAACUACUGCCAAUCCUCCUCUUUUUGCUGAAGAAGACUGGCCCUGAGCUAACAUCCGUGCCCAUCUCCCUCUACUUUAUAUGUGGGACAUCUACCACAGCAUGACUCGCCAAGGGGUGCCAUGUCCCCACCCGGGAUCCGAACUUGUGACCCCCGAGCCACCCAAGCAGAACAUGUGCACUUAACUGCUGCACCAUCAGGCCGGCCCCUGAAAUAUUUUAAUUUAUUCAAUCUGUGAAUAUCCUUUUAAAAAAUAUUUUAACUGAGUUUUUCCAAAUCUAUUUGCCACUUGGGCAAAAAUACGUAUGCCCAAUAAAGCAUGUAUGUUUACUAUGUAACUAUUACCCGAAUCUCUCUUCAAAUGAAGUAGAAGUGGAUGUCCUAGGCUCACAAAGUGGGUUUUGUGUCUAAAGUAACUCUGAGACAUCUCCAUGGCAGUAGAGAACACACAGUUCGGAGAGAGAAUCCCCAUUUCGUAAAACAGCCUCUAGGGUACACAUUGUCACUACAUUGAGCUGGGUUACAGACCUUACCAAAUGGCCCGUCAUUAUUCCUUGAGCUUUUACCAAUAUAAGAAAAUCAAGUAUAUGAUGGAGAAAAGUAUUUUCUUAAAAUUUAACUUGUUUCUUUUCUUGAUUAAAAGUUACAAAAGUACUAUAUGAUUAAAUGUAAAUAGUAUAUAGAAAGUAAAAAGUGAUAAUUCCUCUUCACUCUCCCCUACCUCUACUCCCCUCCUUCCAGGUAAAAACUGUUAACUUUAUUUUACUAGACUUUAUGUGUUUACCUAUCUACGGAUGUGUAUAUACAAAAGAUGUAGCACAUGGUCUAUCCAUCUAUUUAUUUAUACACAUAUACAUCUAUUUAUUUGGGGGAAAUUAUUAAUUUUAGAAACUCAAGAAAUACAUAGAAAUACUGAAAGAUUUAAAAAGGAAGUAACAAUCACCCAAAUGCUAUCGAGGAACACGACCUCAAUAUUUUAAAAACCUCAGUUCAGAAUUCUUGCAUCUAUAAACACAAAUAUAAAUAAGAACGAUAAAAUGUGAUCAUACUCUUCAUGUUACUUUAAAAUUGAAAAUGUAUUAAAAUUAACAUGACAUCUACAGAAUGAAAAGAAGUUGAAAUAAAGCCAAAAGAAUCGCUGAGCUUUAAACAAAUGUUUCUUUCCACUAAAAAAAUUAAUUCUUAAGAAUAAAUCCCACUAAAUACAAGAAUUAAAAUAUGAAGACAAUAUAAGAGAAAUAUGAAAGAAAACAUAAUUUUUCCUUAAACUGCAUUUUCAAAUUUAUACAAUAUCUAUUGACUCUCUUAUACGAAAUAAGGAAUUUCGUGAACUUAAACUCCUAACUCCCUUUGCAUUCCGUAUCCUAUUUUCUUUUAGCCAUGUUCAUUUUACAUUGUCACAGUUCUGUGAUCAUAAGCACUACAACUCAGUAGUUUUAUACCUAUUUCAUUUAUAAAUUUUUAUUACGUUAUAGUCACAUUCCUUUGCCCAGUCCAUUCAUGGUUUCAUUUUGAAUCUCAAGGUGCUGCUGUGUGGGCCAGGCAGAUAGCUUAAUUUUGAUUGUAGUCAUAGGAGAUAGAUCUUAUUCAUACUGCUGUAAGAAAUCAGUGUGACUUUAAAAAUUUUUAUUCAGGGGCUGGCCCCGUGGCCGAGUGGUUAAGUUCGCGCGCUCCGCUGCAGGCGGCCCAGUGUUUCGUUGGUUCGAGUCCUGGGCGCGGACAUGGCACUGCUCAUCAGACCACGCUGAGGCAGCGUCCCACAUGCCACAACUAGAAGAACCCACACCGAAGAAUACACAACUAUGUACUGGGGGGCUUUGGGGAGAAAAAGGAAAAAAAUAAAAUCUUUAAAAAAAAAAAAAAGAUUUUUAUUCAAUACCAUUAAAAAGCCAACAGAUGGAAAAUUUAUUCUAUGAAAAUAGAUGGCAUUUUCUCCCUUCCUAUAAAAUGAGAUAUGCCACCCUGUUUCACCGUUUUUGUCUUUAAAAAAUCUGUACAAGGGGUGUCCUUUGAAUGAGCUCCUUUGAAAGCAUUUGGCUUUUCUGGAAUGAUGUAAGGACAUUUACUCGAUAGAACUGAGCUGAAAAAUCGAAUUCAGUAAAAACAUAUAUACAUAUAAAAAGAGAAGCUAUGAAGAAAUAUAUGACCUCUUCAGCAGGUGUAAUGGGAUAUAAUUAUUUCAGAAGCCCUUGUCUUUGAGAUUGCCUCUCACUGAAGUUAUUUGUGCCUAUCAAUUGUGAUGGUAAGAUGUUUCAGAUAUAAAACCUUUUCUGGGUGGUGAUUGUGCCUGAACGCAAAGAAGGGAAAGGCAGCAGGGCACAGCUCUCUUCCUCAGCAUCUCACCUGUCCGUUCCUCUCCACCUGCUCUGGAUUCUGGAUGAGUAUAAUUCUUCUCUCACCCCGUAGAGGCACUGACAAACAGCUUGCUGAGCCUUCAAAGUCCAUCCCUACAAGAUUGGGACUGGGGUUUGAGGAACUUUCCUGGGCCUCCCACUGUAACUUUCAAAAGAGAAUGUGUUCAACCACCAAUGAAAAUCUUAGGAUCGCAGCUGUCAACAAAUGUUGCUCUUCACUCCAACUAAGUAAAAUGUCAGGUUUUCUUUAAGUCUUGACGUUUUAGUCAAUCCAGGUGUGAUCAAUGAAUCUACCUCACCUUGUGGAGGCUUACAAAAUGACUACUGCAAUCCCAGUUUUUGCCCUCUCUGUGAGACUAGAAGUAACUAAGUACUAUCUUCAACCUGAGCCCUGAGAUGGUUCUGGGAGAAACCUGAAUUGGAAUGAUUUAACCCACACACCUCUACCCACUGAUACUUGCUUAUGAGAUUCACUUGCUGGUGUGAACACUAGUUGGUGUGCACUGUGGACAGCUCCAUACCUCUGUCUGGGAAGUUGGCAAUCUUGUACCCAAAGGGUAGCCAUGAACAACUCUAUCCUCCUCAUUCCUGUGGCUGAGAUACCCUCAGGGUUACAAUGAAGACUAUAAUUUAAUUUAAAAUUUCUUGCCUACAAAAAAUUAACUAUGAAAUUUAAUCUGGAGCAUCUGUGCCUCCAAGUCUUGUCAUGGUGAAUAGAAUUCUCUGGUAUGUUGUUGUGUUGGAACCCAAAAGAGAGCAUUUUUCACUGCCUUGUUGAGAUGUAGUUAUGAAUUUGAGCUUAUCCCAGGCCAUCAAUAGUUGUUCUGUAAGUGGCCUCUAGUGCUUGGCCACAGAGAUUGUUACUCAGAUAUCUGGGUGUGUCUCUCUUUCUGAGAGAGUCUAUCUCUUUACAAUUUCUGACAUUCUUUAAACUCAGCUCACACAUCACAUCUGUGGGAUGACACUUCCCAUGAAUUUAUCAAGUUUUUAAUAUUUAUUGCAGUGUUUAUAAUAGUUAAAAU
ensembl:lncRNA